CAGGAUCACAAUGUUGUGGCUGCAUUUAGAUUAGGAACACAGGUCUUCUGGCUUUUGUAAUUGUGGGCUUUCCUGAUACCACUGCAAGUGAAGACUCCUUGAUUGUGCAAGGUGCUUGGGUUCUAAACAAUCACAGGAAGUGAGGAGAGGGCUCUUGGUUGACCUGGGACCAGUCUCUCCGAUGUCCCCUCUCCUUUGACACAUUGGCUCUCACAGUUGGCCUUGCACAUGCUAUACCAGUGCUCUACCACGAACAAGUCUGAGGCCAGCACAAGCAACAAAUUAUGACCCUCAUCUCCAGAAAAUAAACAACUGUCAACCGAACG
rnacentral:lncRNA from 1 species